UUUCUCUCGGGCGUCCAGUUCAGAUGAGGAUGAUGAUAAUGAAGAAAAAACCCCACCACCAUCACCACCACUACCUUUGACACAUUCCAUUGCAACUGCUCUCUUGGCUUCAGUUUUAUGAUGAGGAACGUGAAGCCCAGAAUAUUAAAUGACUUGUACAAGGUCCCAUGGAGAGUGAGUGGCAGAAGCAGUAUUUGAACCUGGGCCCUCUGACUCCAAAUCCCGGACACGAAGAGGAGGAGAAGAGAGCAUUCAAGGCCUAGGGAACAGGCUGAACAAAGGCACAAAGUUUCUUCUUGGGAUCUGAAGCAUGGAAAAGCAUUCCUUGCCAAAAGCAAUAGAGUGGAAAUUUGUGAGCCAUCCGAUCUCAUCUCAAUACUAUUGUCUGUUGGCUGGCUGGGCAGCACUGGCCAAGGUGCCUCAUCAGCCUGUGCCUUCCCUUGCCCAUCUGUGAAGCAGAGAGAAUAAUGCCAGCUUAGUUCAGGAGAACUUAGCAGAGAGAAGAGCGGAAAUCAUGUUUGCGGAGCAAGUGGAAAGAAACUAACCUUUUCAUCAUCCACUUAGCAACAAAUGGAGGACUCCCCCUAGUUUGUCCAUGCUGGGAAUUUGCUCUCUUCUAAAGACAUCCUUAGCCAGGCUUCUCCUGGUAGUUUUCAGCUAUCAACUCCAAAUGGAAUCCAGCUGACUCCAUUUGCUGCCAUUUUCCAGGAGCUUUAAUUGAAUUGAAGUGGAAGAUUUCAAUACUCAAAUGGAUUUGUCAUCUUGCUGAUUCAGGAGUUCCUUCCAACAAACCAUCCAUGUUCUCUCACCCUCCCAUGUCACUGGAUCCCCAUUCAGCAUUGAAAAUGACCUUGGAGACCAUCAAGUCCAACUGCCAGGGUCAAACAGUGGUUUACAUAUAAAACCAAUUCAAAACAAAACAAAAAACCACCCACAAAUGUUUCACCCAACACAGAGUCAAAAAGUUAAGGGACGUACAAAAUGCACGACUAGUGGUUGAAUGAAGUGCACAAUUUAUUGUGAUGCAUCCUUCCAACAUCGGGCAGAUCUUUUCCUUUGUUAGCUCAGAGCCUGUACAGAUGUUACGAACUUGAAGAACAGUCUGUAACAGGAAGGCUGGCAGAGUCUCAGAUACUCACUAGCUAAGUGACCUUGGCCAAGUCACUUAACUUCUGUCUGCCUUACUUUCCUCACUGUACAGUGGGAUAAUGAGAGCAUCUACCUCUCAGGGUGGCUGUGGGGGCCAACUGAGAUAAUAUUUGUGAAGCACUUUGCAAACCUUAAAGUGCUAUAUAAAUAUUAGCUAUUAGUUUAUUCAUAAGGAACCAAACUUUGGAGGCUUUUCACUGAUGGUGAAUUUUACUGAGGAGUGUAUUUUUUGAUCUGUCCUCCCUUUUCUUUUCACAUCAAAAGUAUCUCCAUUAAAAUGACUUCUCUCUAAGAGCUUGUUUAAAGACAUGGUAUGUUGCUUAAAUCUAAGGAGGUUAACCUCCAGAUCUGGUGCUCAUGAAGUCAAUUGAGGCAGAGACAGAAAUAACAUAGAGAAGGAAAACCAGCCUUUUUAUUCAUAGUCAGUCUUCUAAUCGCAUAUAAUUGAGCGACCAAAGCUUUAAUUUAGAAGCUUUUCUAUUAUAGCCUCUCUCUCUAUCUUUAAUGUGGGUCAGUGGGAGAAAAAAUCAUGACAUCAGAAGGGAUGCGGUUACUGAAAACUAUGACAGAAAUUGACCUCCUGUUUUUCUGAGAUCCCAGAGAGUCUCCAUUUUGUGUGAAAUUAUAACAAAAAAUGGCUCUUCCUUGGUU